rnacentral:rRNA from 1 species
GAGUUUGAUCAUGGCUCAGAUUGAACGCUGGCGGCAUGCUUUACACAUGCAAGUCGAACGGUAACAGGCAGCUUGCUGCGCUGACGAGUGGCGAACGGGUGAGUAAUACAUCGGAAUGUACCCAGUCAUGGGGGAUAACGCUUCGAAAGGAGUGCUAAUACCGCAUACGCCCUGAGGGGGAAAGUGGGGGAUGCGCAAGCACCUCACGUGAUUGGAGCAGCCGAUGGCUGAUUAGCUAGUUGGUAGGGUAAAGGCCUACCAAGGCAACGAUCAGUAGCGGGUCUUAGAGGACGAUCCGCCACACUGGAACUGAGACACGGUCCAGACUCCUACGGGAGGCAGCAGUGGGGAAUCUUGGACAAUGGGCGAAAGCCUGAUCCAGCAAUGCCGCGUGCGUGAAGAAGGCCUUCGGGUUGUAAAGCGCUUUUGUCGGGGAGGAAAUCCUAACGGUUAAUACCUGUUGGGGAUGACAGUACCCGAAGAAUAAGCACCGGCUAACUACGUGCCAGCAGCCGCGGUAAUACGUAGGGUGCAAGCGUUAAUCGGAAUUACUGGGCGUAAAGCGUCCGCAGGUGGCUUGAUAAGAUAGACGUGAAAUCCCUGGGCUCAACCUAGGAAUUGCGUAUAUGACUGUCUCGCUAG